GUUUCGAUGGUGUAGUUGGUUAUCACUUCUGUCUAACACACAGGCGGUCCUCGGUUCGAUUCCGGGUCGAAACA
rfam:Microsporidia sp. TGP3 contig-23, whole genome shotgun sequence.